UACGUAGGGUGCGAGCGUUGUCCGGAAUUACUGGGCGUAAAGGGCUCGUAGGCGGCCAACUAAGUCAGACGUGAAAUCCCUCGGCUUAACCGGGGAACUGCGUCUGAUACUGGAUGGCUUGAGAUUGGGAGAGGGAUGCGGAAUUCCAGGUGUAGCGGUGAAAUGCGUAGAUAUCUGGAGGAACACCGGUGGCGAAGGCGGCAUCCUGGACCGGCAUUGACGCUGAGGCGCGAAAGCUAGGGGAGCAAACAGG
rnacentral:rRNA from 1 species